GAGGCUAUAUUGAUGAUAUGUUGAUACUCGUCAAGGAUGGAGGAUACUAUUAACGAUGUGUUGAUAUCCGACAAAAGCCGAAGGUUUAUUACAAUGAUGAUGGUCCUGAUAAGGACAAUUAUGAUGGGUUGUGAUAUUGAUUGUGUACUUUGCAUUCAUUCCUGCAUGUGCAUCGCCUAUCACCAGUAUGCACCUAUAUUUAUCAGCUGGUAUGGGACUGUUGCACAUAUAUGGGUGAAGAAUAUACCUUGUGUUGUUGUAAGUUGAUUGAACCUUUGGAGUCUAGCGGUGGGGGUAUGCAUCUGCUCAGUUAGGUAUUUCGUUGUCUAGAGUAGCCAGUUAUUUAUGAUAUUAUUGAUAUUGUUAUUAUCAUUAUUGUGAUCAUUAUUAUGGCUAGCCUAUGACAGAUUGGUCAUUGACCCGGUGUUGGG
rnacentral:lncRNA from 1 species